AACGAACGCUGGCGGCAUGCCUAACACAUGCAAGUCGAACGAUCCCUUCGGGGAUAGUGGCGCACGGGUGCGUAACGCGUGGGAACCUGCCCUUAGGUUCGGAAUAACUCAGAGAAAUUUGAGCUAAUACCGGAUAAUGUCUUCGGACCAAAGAUUUAUCGCCUUUGGAUGGGCCCGCGUUGGAUUAGCUAGUUGGUGGGGUAAAGGCCUACCAAGGCGACGAUCCAUAGCUGGUCUGAGAGGAUGAUCAGCCACACUGGGACUGAGACACGGCCCAGACUCCUACGGGAGGCAGCAGUGGGGAAUAUUGGACAAUGGGCGAAAGCCUGAUCCAGCAAUGCCGCGUGAGUGAUGAAGGCCUUAGGGUUGUAAAGCUCUUUUACUCGGGAUGAUAAUGACAGUACCGGGAGAAUAAGCCCCGGCUAACUCCGUG
rnacentral:rRNA from 1 species